CCUACGGGAGGCAGCAGUGGGGAAUUUUGGACAAUGGGCGAAAGCCUGAUCCAGCAAUGCCGCGUGAGUGAAGAAGGCCUUCGGGUUGUAAAGCUCUUUUGUCAGGGAAGAAACGGUGAGAGCUAAUAUCUCUUGCUAAUGACGGUACCUGAGGAAUAAGCACCGGCUAACUACGUGCCAGCAGCCGCGGUAAUACGUAGGGUGCAAGCGUUAAUCGGAAUUACUGGGCGUAAAGCGUGCGCAGGCGGUUUUGUAAGUCUGAUGUGAAAUCCCCGGGCUCAACCUGGGAAUUGCAUUGGAGACUGCAAGGCUAGAAUCUGGCAGAGGGGGGUAGAAUUCCACGUGUAGCAGUGAAAUGCGUAGAUAUGUGGAGGAACACCGAUGGCGAAGGCAGCCCCCUGGGUCAAGAUUGACGCUCAUGCACGAAAGCGUGGGGAGCAAACAGGAUUAGAUACCCUGGUAGUCCACGCCCUAAACGAUGUCUACUAGUUGUCGGGUCUUAAUUGACUUGGUAACGCAGCUAACGCGUGAAGUAGACCGCCUGGGGAGUACGGUCGCAAGNUUAAAACGUCAAAUGAAUUGACGG
rnacentral:rRNA from 1 species